UUGUUCACUUUGGCAACAUAUAUACUAAAAUUGAAAUGAGACAGAGAAGAUUAGCAUGGCCCCUGCACAGGGUGAUGUGCGAAUUUGUGAAGUGUUCCAUAUUUUU
ensembl:snRNA U6 U6 spliceosomal RNA